rnacentral:rRNA from 1 species
UCAGACGAUGCGUCAUGCAUAUCAAUAAGCGGAGGAAAAGAAACUAACAAGGAUUCCCCUAGUAACGGCGAGUGAAGCGGGAGGAGCUCAAAUUUGAAAUCUUAAAGGGUUUCCCUUUACGAAUUGUAGUUUAAAGAAGUGUUUUCUGUUGAGGUUUUGGUAAAAGUUCUUUGGAAUAGGACAUCAUAGAGGGUGAGAAUCCCGUAUUUGACCUUUACUUUCAACUUUGUGAUACACUUUCAAAGAGUCGGAUUGUUUGGGAAUGCAGUCCAAAAUGGGUGGUAAAUUUCAUCUAAAGCUAAAUAUUGGCGAGAGACCGAUAGCGAACAAGUACCGUGAGGGAAAGAUGAAAAGAACUUUGAAAAGAGAGUUAAACAGUACGUGAAAUUGUCAAAAGGGAAGCGUUUGACACCAGUGUUGUUUUUCUGAAAAUCAAUUAAAGAACUGUUUAUGCUAAGCUGUUUAGACUUUAUCAGCUAUCUGUUUAGUUUUGAGCUUUUCUUUAAUGCACUUUUCAGUUAACAAGUCAACAUCAAUUUCUUUUGCUGUAAAAAAGCUUGAGGAAGGUGGCUUGAGAUUCGUCUUAAGUGUUUAUAGCCUCUUGCCUAUGCAGUCGGAGAGAUUGAGGUCUAGCAGCGUAGAUCCUUCGGGGCUAAAUGCAUUUGUGCUAAGUUAUAGCAUUUUAUAGACAACUUGUUGACUAUGAUUUGUCUUGUAGCUUACUCGCUUAUGUUAUUUUACCUACGCUUAGGAUGUUGACACACGCGCGUGCUCG